GGGUCAAUGGUGAAGAGGCUAUCAUGCUCCUUUAGGGUAGGAGUGGUCCCGGGUUCGAAUCCCGGUUGACCCC
rnacentral:tRNA from 2 species